UAUCCUUUUAUCGGAGGGUUGAUGCCAAUGCUCUGGGCUUAUGCUCGGUUCACUGGCUCAUCUCUUUCUGAUUCUACCCAUGUUUUUUGCGUACUACUUGUUUCCUUGGUAGGCUUGCCUACCAAUAGGACAUAUUAAAACCUUUUGUAAUUGCAGUCAGCGUCAGUAACAAUGUAAUAAUUACAACUUUCAACAACGGAUCUCUUGGUUCUGGCAUCGAUGAAGAACGCAGCGAAAUGCGAUAAGUAGUGUGAAUUGCAGAAUUCAGUGAAUCAUCGAAUCUUUGAACGCACAUUGCGCCCCUUGGUAUUCCAUGGGGCAUGCCUGUUCGAGCGUCAUUUGUACCCUCAAGCACUGCUUGGUGUUGGGUGUAUGUUUUCACUUGCGCUUGCGUAAGUGAGGACUCGCCUUAAAACAAUUGGCAGCCGGCAUAUUGGCCUGGAGCGCAGCACAUUUUGCGCCUCUUGUCAUGAUUGUUGGCAUCCAUCAAGACCUUUUAUUAGCUCUUGACCUCGGAUCAGGUAGGGAUACCCGCUGAACUUAAGCAUAUCAAUAAGCCGGAGG
rnacentral:rRNA from 1 species